AAGGGCACACUGAGCUGGUUCCAUCCACAUCCUACUGCAACACUGGAGCAACACCAACCACAUGAGGAGUUUUUCCAUAGGCAGUUGGCUGGAGGCACCCAUCCUCUCCAUCUCUCAAUGAUGGAGUCGGACACUUCAGUCCCAGGGAUUUUAAAGGAACAACAAAACUGCGUGGAGCUGAACGGCCCUAAAUCAGUUGCUAAAAUUAAAAGCUGAAACUGAGCCACCAGCUAGGACUGGGGGGAGCGUGCUGUGUGCCACAUCCUCCUCGCUUCCUCACACGCUCCAUGCUCGGUGUGUCAUCCCUGCUUAUCUUAGAACACGGGUGCUAGGUAGUCCUGAGAGGCUUUGCAAUUCAUUUGCACAGCACUCAGAGCCCUUUGGUCUUCUCCCUGUUCAGUCAGGAGACUGAUUCCUUGCUGGGCCAUUCCUCUGUCCCAAGCCCAGACUGGGAAUGUCCCUGUUUCCAUUCCUCUUUGCUCAGACAGCAGCUUGAGGUUAGAUACUGCUCCAAGUCACCCAUCUGAGCUGAUGAAAGCAAAAAAAUAGAGGCACCCCUUCUCCUGGGGUGAAGUGUCUCCUGGGCUGUACUAUAAGUGGCAUGGAUGACAGCCUGAGGGGGAUGUUUCCCCUCAGUUCUUCUCUUGUUACAUCCCACCUGGAAUAAUGCCUCCAGCUCUGGGGCCCCUAUGAGACAGCCACAGACAUGCCAGGGCAGGUCCAGAGGAGGCCACAGAAACAGUCCAAGGGUUGGAAUAACUCUGCUAUGGAGACAGGCUGAGAGAGUUAUGGUUGCUCAGCCUGGAGAGGAGAAGCCUUUGAGGAGCUAUAAAGUGUGCUUGUAAGAGAUGUAGAUUUUUUACCAGGGCCUGUAGAGACAGGGCAAGGGGCAGUGGGUUUAAAGCAAAAGCUAUCAGUUUAGACUGGACAUAAAAUGCCUUGUGAUGAAGGUUAUUAGGCACUGGAACAGGCUGCCCAGAGAAGCUGUGGAUGUCCUAUCCCUGGACAUAGCCAGGUGCUCAAGGUCAGGCUGGAUGGAGCUUUAAGCAAUCUGCCCUAGUGAAAGACAUCCCUGCCCACAGCAGGGGGGCUGGAUUGGAUGACCUUUAAAUGUCCCUUCAAACCCAACCCAGAUUCUGGUCCUCUCUGCUGAGCCACAGCCUAACAAUGGGAGACAGGGAUGAAGCCUGGGUGCUUAGGGCUGUUCAAUGAAGGGCAGCCAGAGGCUGAGGAAAAGCCAUCAGCCCAAGAGAUGGCUGGGCAGAAGGAAAGACAAAUUGCUGGAGGGAGAGGCAGGCAGACAUGGCUAACACCAGUAAUACCUCAAACAUCAAGGAAACCCCAACAUCUCAGCUUGCAGCUCCAGCAGGGUACACAUGGGGCCGGGCAGGCCCUGCCUCCCAGGGCGACAGCAGCCAGAGCCAGCUCCAGCACACGGCACAGCCAGCACCAGCGCCACUGCCAAGGGCUGCGGAACAGCUGCUGCUUCCCAGCCUGGAGAAACUCACACUUCAGAGGUGGUGAGACUGCUCCCACGCACGUGCACUUUACUUUCAAAUCCUCUGGGCUGUGAGGUGUUUCAGAAACAGAAGGUGAUAUUAUUGCAAUCAAGAAAAGGCCAUUUCCAUCAGCCAGCAGGAAAAACAAGUGCCACCACUAGCACUAUGGCAGCGGAAAACAAUGUCUUGCCAAAGGAUAACAAAUCCUCCAGGUAGCAGAAUACAGAGCCUGGCAAUUAGCACCUCCCACACCAUCAGCAUCCUUGCUUGCCCUCAGCACGUUUCCCCCUUCCCUCCAGGCCCCCCAUCCUGCCUGCAACUAGGACACACCGCCCUGCUGACGUGGCAGUGCCAUGGCUCCAGGACAGGCAGGAGAAUACCAGCCCCCAAGAUCCUGUCCGCAGCAGUGAGAGGCAGUGGGAGUGCAUUUGGACUGUGGGAGCCGUGCAACAUCGGGCUUGAUAGCUUGGGAGAGUUUUUCAUUUUCACCUCAGUGAAGGCAGCCCGCCAUGCAAUUUACACCUUGCCCGCCCGCGCUUCCCAGGGCCGAACCACCCAGCUGCUCCCAUGGCUCCUCCAGGGCGGGAACUGCAGAGUGGCAGCUGCCAGGCACAGACAAACUGAGAGCACCCACUUGAGCUGCAAGAGAAAUCCUGCAGCACACAAAGGAGCAUCCAUCAUCUUCAGAGACGAGCCAGGUAGCAAGUCCCAGCGAGAUAAAGCCUCUCAGAAAGUAGCCACGGGCAGUCAGAGCCCCCAGCGUGGGGUUAGGACAAGCCUUGGACAAAAAUGCCAUCCCAGACAUGUUCAGGUGCAUUAGUCCAUGUGCUUCCAGGGAUAGAUCAUACUGCCCCCAACUACGGGAAUGUCACCUGCAGA